GACGAACGCUGGCGGCGGGCUUAACACAUGCAAGUCGAACGGAAAGGCCCUGCUUUUGUGCUGUGCUCGAUUGGCGAACGGGGGCGGAACACGUGAGUAACCUGCUCUUGACUUUGGGAUAACUUCAGGAAACGGGGGCUAAUACCGGAUAGGAGCUGCUGCUGCAUGGUGGGGGUUGGAAAGUUUCGGCGGUUGGGGAUGGACUAGCGGCUGAUCAGCUUGUUGGUGGGGUAGUGGCUUACCAAGGCUUUGACGGGUAGCCGGCCUGAGAGGGUGACCGGCCACAUUGGGACUGAGAUACGGCCCAGACUCCUACGGGAGGCAGCAGUGGGGAAUAUUGCACAGUGGGCGGAAGCCUGAUGCAGCAACGCCGCGUGCGGGAUGACGGCCUUCGGGUUGUAAACCGCUUUCGCCUGUGACGCAGCGUGAGUGACGGUAAUGGGUAAAGAAGCACCGGCUAACUACGUG
rnacentral:rRNA from 1 species